rnacentral:rRNA from 1 species
GACGUAGGGCGCAAGCGUUGUCCGGAUUUAUUGGGCGUAAAGAGCUCGUAGGCGGUUCAUUGCGUCAAUCGUGAAAUCCUUCGGCUCAACCGAAGAACGUCGGCCGAUACUGCCGUUCUUGAGGGAUGCAGAGGAGAUUGGAAUUCCCGGUGUAGCGGUGAAAUGUGUAGAGAUCGGGAGGAACACCGGCGGCGAAGGCGGCUGCCUGGACCAGUCCUGACGCUGAGGCGCGAAAGGCUAGGGGAGCAAACAGG